rnacentral:rRNA from 1 species
CGAAGGGGGCUAGCGUUGUUCGGAGUUACUGGGCGUAAAGGGCGCGUAGGCGGCCCUCCAAGUCGGGCGUGAAAGCCCACGGCUCAACCGUGGAAUUGCGCUCGAGACUGAAGGGCUCGAGGACGGGAGAGGAUGGUGGAAUUCCCAGUGUAGAGGUGAAAUUCGUAGAUAUUGGGAAGAACACCGGUGGCGAAGGCGGCCAUCUGGACCGUAUCUGACGCUGAGGCGCGAAAGCGUGGGGAGCAAACAGGAUUAGAUACCCUGGUAGUCCACGUCGUAAACGAUGAGUGCUAGACGUUGGGGAACCUAGUUCUUCGGUGUCGCAGCUAACGCAUUAAGCACUCCGCCUGGGGAGUACGGCCGCAAGGUUA